AACGAACGCUGGCGGCAUGCCUAACACAUGCAAGUCGAACGAGACCUUCGGGUCUAGUGGCGCACGGGUGCGUAACGCGUGGGAACCUGCCCUUAGGUUCGGAAUAACUCCCCGAAAGGGGUGCUAAUACCGGAUAAUGUCUUCGGACCAAAGAUUUAUCGCCUUUGGAUGGGCCCGCGUUGAAUUAGGUAGUUGGUAGGGUAAAAGCCUACCAAGGCGACGAUCCAUAGCUGGUCUGAGAGGAUGAUCAGCCACACUGGGACUGAGACACGGCCCAGACUCCUACGGGAGGCAGCAGUGGGGAAUAUUGGACAAUGGGCGAAAGCCUGAUCCAGCACGGCCGCGUGAGUGAUGAAGGCCUUAGGGUUGUAAAGCUCUUUUACCCGGGAUGAUAAUGACAGUACCGGGAGAAUAAGCUCCGGCUAACUCCGUG
rnacentral:rRNA from 1 species